UAAUGACAUGGGUGAAGGAAGUAAUGUGAUGUAGCGAUUCUUUUGAACAUGUGAACAGGAACUUAAUGAGGCUAAAUGGUGGAUAAGGUUGCGCUACAAACCAAAGUCCAAAUGGUAUAUGUAAGACUAAGACAGUAAAUCAAGACAUUGUGAAAG
rnacentral:ncRNA from 1 species